GGGCAUGUAGUUCAGUGGUAGAACGCUACUCUUAUAAAGUAGAAGUCCCAGGUUCAAUCCCUGGCAUGCCCA
rfam:Parcubacteria bacterium DG_74_1, whole genome shotgun sequence.